rnacentral:misc_RNA from 1 species
UGGUUCUGGCAUCGAUGAAGAACGCAGCGAAAUGCGAUAAGUAAUGUGAAUUGCAGAAUUCAGUGAAUCAUCGAAUCUUUGAACGCACAUUGCGCCCUUUGGUAUUCCGAAGGGCAUGCCUGUUCGAGCGUCAUUUCAAAACUCUCAAGCUCUUUUUGCUUGGUAUUGGGCUUAUUGUCUUUUUUUAAUAGAAGGGACAUGCCUGAAACUCAUUGGCAGUAGCGCCUAGCUCUUUAGCGUAGUCAAUUAUUUCUAUCCGUUAAAGGGUCUUCUAAGUUGUACCAGCCAGAUGAACAAAACAAUUUUUUCUAUGGUUUGACCUCGGAUCAGGUAGGGAUACCCGCUGA